CGGUUAAGACAAUUCAAAAUGUUUUUAUCAAUUGAUAAAUUGAUUACGCGUCUAUUAAUCAAUUAAUCAAUCGGUCGACACAAAUUUUGUCAAGUCUAAAUGUUUUUUUUUUUGUCCAAAAGAGUUUUGGGAGGUUGCCCGACGGCGGGGAAAGGAAGAGUUUUACUCGGUGUGGCCACUCACUUAAUUCGCACGUGUCUUUCUCAGCUUCUGAAUUCUGAGAGGAUGCUAGUGGAAGAAGGAACUAAGAAGCCCCUUCAGCUAAUUAUUGAUUUGUUGAUGAAAAUAAAUCUGUUGAGAUUGUGGUCCUAAAGUUGGACAAGUCUCUGCAUCCACUAAAGGCGGAAUGCUAUGCGUUAUUCUUUUUUACCUUGAGGCAUGAGGCGAAAGAUCAAUUGCUUGUUUGUAAUCUUAUCUCUCAACCACUUACCAUGGUGUUAAAUCAGAAUCUCUGUAAUGGAUUCUUGGGCCCUAUCUAUGGAAUACAUAGCGGCUGCUUUUUGAAUUACUUCUUCAGCAUAUAUUCCUAUGUGAGGUUAACAUGUAGUUUGGUGGUGUGACUUUGUUGCUCCAUUGUAUGUAAGUAUCUCUUGCAUCAUUUGUUUAUCAAAUACUUUUAUCCGGUAAUAUAUUUGUAUUUGGAUCGGGAUGUGGGUACCGUUUCAUAUGUGAGGGAUGGUGUGUCAAGCUAUACUAAUUUGCUUAUCAUUGUACAUUUCUACAAAGCUUCUGUACUAAUUAAUUAUGAGAGUAUUCCUCCAGCUAGUAUAUUUGUGGUGCAAAUGCGCGUUCUAUUUAUGCAAUAUUUUUACUCUUUUUUAGGCUAUAUUUUCUACUAUUAUUGAGUUCUUAUUAUAUUAAGACUUCUUUUUGCUUAGUUUUCGUGUGGAAUAAUGAUGUUUCAUGUCGAGAGAGAGUUAUUAUUGCUAAAAAUGUAAUAUAUAGAGAGGUGUAGACUAAUCUGCUAGUGGGUGGAUGGCCAUCUUAGUAUUUUGUCACCAUCAUUUUUAGAAUCCUUUGAGUGCAUUUUGCUUUUGCUCUUAUUGCUUCAGCAGAUAAGGCGAAACUAGAAUCUAUGUGAGAUGUGGCGAUGGCCGACGCACUAUGAGGUACCCCACAAGGUGUUCUGCCCCUCUUUACUUUCUAAUUUGUUACAAAAGUUAUAUUAAUGACAUACAUAUUGAGUCAAGUUUCUUCAUCUCAAACUGGGUUUAAUAUUAGUUUAGCAUGAAUACAAGCUAAGUAAAUAAUAGGAAUGUCAUUCAUACACAAUACUUGUACAGUGUACUUGUGAUGUUAGCGCGGUACAAUUGAUUAUGUGUUGGAUGAUGUUGGAGUAAUACGUGUGACAAAAUUGAAUGUUACAAUUAAACGUUGCUACUAGGACUAAUACUAAUAUUUUGGUUUGUCAGGAGGUCUUUGUUGGCAUGAAGCUCAUGCAGAUUGGAGGAUUGACCUUGGCUAGAGCAAGAAUGGAGGAAGGAAGAAUCCACAAUCCAUCCCCACAAAUUAGACCCGAGGCAACGGCUGGGAUCAUGAGGCCAGCCUUCGUUUUAUCAAUCCUAUGCCAAAGAUACACAAUCAAGCUCCCAACGCACAUAUCAAUUGCAAAGUAACCCCCCACAAGAAAAGGUACCGCCAUUGCCAUAGGCAGAGGAACCCAUUUCCCCAACUUCUCCGGCAUAGUGUCUCUCAACAAGUUGGCCGCCACAGCAAACGCGAAGAAUCCAUAACAUAGCUGCAAGCAGUGGUGAGGCAGGGCGGAGAAGCCUUCGACUCCAAGAAUUGCCAUAUUCCUAUAUAUGAGUGCGUAAGGGGCUUUGUAUUCCCCAUUUGGAUUCCCCACAUCAAAGGCUUUGUAAAAGAGGAAGAACGAGAGAGGCGCCACUAUGCAGCCAAUGGCAGUCCCGAUUCCCUGGCUGAUCAGCAUUGAUCUAGGCGAGGUUAGGGUGAGGUGGCCCGUCUUAAGGUCAUGCAUCAAGUCGGAGGAUAUGGAGACGAUGGACUUUAUCAGACCACACCCAAUUAGUCCAGCAACGACCCCGUUCUCCUUCCCUGACAUUGCAGCAAGCACGAAGAGAGCCAUUUUGCCGUAGUUGUAUGCCAUGUUCAUGUCAGUCAGACCGGCACCAUAAGCAUUACAGAAGCUCAAAGACGGCGCAAGAACGUAGGCGACCACGACAUAGUACCACUUGAGCUGAGGAAACAUGAUGGGGAUCACAAUAAUGGAAACCACAGAGAAAAUCGUGUACCCCACACAUGCUACCCAAAUGGGAAUGCUGUCUCGUAUGAAUACUUGGUUCCGACGAAGAUCGUCUAAGCUUUGAUUCUUGUCUUCUGAAACCAUACAAGAGGUUUCUUGUGAGCAAAAUAUACAGAAAAAUUCCAAGAAUCACAAAAAAGUUGCUUCUCCA